CGAAUCGCAGCGACCUCGAGUCGGCGAUGAUGCAAACAAGAUUCAGCCCUAUCAACUUUCGAUGGUAGUAUAGGGGACUACCAUGGUUGUAACGGGUAACGGGGGAUUUGGGUUCGAUUCCGGAGAGGGAGCCUGAGAAACGGCUACCACUUCUAAGGAAGGCAGCAGGCGCGCAACUUACCCAAUGGGGACACCCUGAGGUAGUGACAAGAAAUACCAAUAUUGGACCUUACAGGUACAAUGUUUGGAAUGAGUACAAUUUAGAAACCUUAACGAUCACCAAUUGGAGGGCAAGUCUGGUGCCAGCAGCCGCGGUAAUUCCAGCUCCAAUAGUGUAUACUAAUUUUGUUGUAGUUAAAAAGCUCGUAGUUGGAUUUCGGAUGGCUGCGGUCUUUGGUACGUCCACAGUGAUUGUUACUGGACCGCGGCGUCCUGUCUUUCGGAUACACAGGCGGACCGGCUCCGACGGCUCCGGCCGGAGGCGUUCGACCGCCAAUUGCUGUUCCGAAUCGUUUACUUUGAAGAAAAUAGAGUGUUCAAAGCAGGCGUAACUUGCCUCUGAAUACAUUAGCAUGGGAUAACAAAAGAUGACUUUGGUUCUAUUUUGUUGGUUUCUAGGGCUGAGGUAAUGAUUAAUAGGGACGGUUGGGGUCGAUCGUAUUGAGUUGUCAGAGGUGAAAUUCUAUGAUUUACUCAAGACGAACAGCUGCGAAAGCGUUCGACAAGGACGUUUUCAUUAAUCAAGAACGAAAGUUGAGGGAUCGAAGAUGAUCAGAUACCGUCGUAGUCUCAACCAUAAACUAUGUCGACCAAGGAUCCGAAGGCGUUUAAUGGAAGACUCUCCGGGCACUUUGUGAGAAAUCAUAAGUAGCAGGAUUCCGGGGGGAGUAUGGUCGCAAGGCUGAAACUUAAAGGAAUUGACGGAAGGGCACCACCAGGAGUGGAACUUGCGGCUUAAUUUGACCCAACACGGGGCAACUUACCAGGUCCGGACACAUGAAGGAUUGACAGGUUGAGAGCUCUUUCUUGAUUAUGUGAGUGGUGGUGCAUGGCCGUUUUUAGUUGGUGGAGUGAUUUGUCUGGUUAAUUCCGUUAACGAACGAGACCUUAACCUAUUAAAUAGUUACGCAAACUCGUCCUUCGGGACUCUCGUUUGCGGGAAACUUCUUAGAGGGACUCUUCGCAUUUCUAGCGAAUGGAAGUUUGAGGCAAAAACAGGUCUGUGAUGCCCUUCGAUGUCCUGGGCUGCACGCGUGUUACACUGACGCAUUCAACGAGUUUUACUUCCUUGCCCGAAGGGGCUGGGUAACCUUUUAAAAGUGCGUCGUGAUGGGGAUAGAACAUUGCAAUUAUUGUUCUUGAACGAGGAAUUCCUAGUAAGUGCAAGUCAUCAACUUGCGCUGAUUACGUCCCUGCCCUUUGUACACACCGCCCGUCGCUUCUACCGAUUGAAUGGUCCGGUGAGGACCUGGGAUGGCGGGUUGCUUGGACGGCCACUCGCCGCUCCAGCGCUGUGCCAGAACUCGUUCAAACCUUACCAUUUAGAGGAAGGAGAAGUCGUAACAAGGUU
rnacentral:rRNA from 1 species